rnacentral:rRNA from 1 species
UAGGGAAUUUUCCACAAUGGACGAAAGUCUGAUGGAGCAACGCCGCGUGAACGAUGAAGGUCUUCGGAUUGUAAAGUUCUGUUGUCAGGGACGAACACGUACCGUUCGAAUAGGGCGGUGCCUUGACGGUACCUGACGAGAAAGCCACGGCUAACUACGUGCCAGCAGCCGCGGUAAUACGUAGGUGGCAAGCGUUGUCCGGAUUUAUUGGGCGUAAAGCGCGCGCAGGCGGCUAUGUAAGUCUGGUGUUAAAGCCCGGGGCUCAACCCCGGUUCGCAUCGGAAACUGUGUAGCUUGAGUGCAGAAGAGGAAAGCGGUAUUCCACGUGUAGCGGUGAAAUGCGUUAGAGAUGUGGAGGAACACCAGUGGCGAAGGCGGCUUUCUGGUCUGCAACUGACGCUGAGGCGCGAAAAGCGU